GACAUUUCUACCACUUCUCCUGUUUUGAUCACCCCUGUGUCAAUUAGGAGUCCUUCCUCUUUUGCUCGUGCUAAACAGUCUGUUCGUCCAUCUAUUUCUCUUCCUACCAAGCCCACUGCAGCUAAAAGUGCCCCAAGUCGCAAACGACCAUCCUCAUCAUCUCCCAUUUUGGAGGAUGAUGAUGAUGAUGACACUUCUCUCAUCGUUAGAAGAAAGAUAAUUAAAUUAGUUUACUCACAAGCAUACCUUUCUAUACUUGAAACUUUUAUAUGUGCUGAUGGUUUAUUCGGAUUUCUCAGAAAAGUUCAGCCUCUCCUUUGAAGGCUUUGGUGUUGGCAGCUCCUGCUCCAUCAUCCUCUGCUGAGGCUGCUUCAUCCAAAUCAGCUGAUGAAGGGACUACGCUUAAAGAGAAACCUUCAGUCCCGGAAUCCUCGUCACAAUCAAUGGAUGAGCCACAUUCUUCUCAGGACGUCAACCCCCCAAACGUCGAACCAGAAGGUAAUACAUUUUUGAUGUUUUACCUUUGCUUGUACUAUUGAUUUUUGAUUUGUAGCUUUUUAAGUUCUGCAGAUGCUCCUAUGGGUUUGUCCGUUGUGGCAAAGUCUUCUCGCCCAAAUAAGGGGAAGUCCUCACAAGUGGUGGAAUCACAGGUGGUAGACUUGGUUGGGGAUAUGCCACCUCCCAAGAUUGCUGAUGAGGUAAUUUUUGCUUCACUUUUACUUCCACUUUAUUUACUGUAGUGAAAACUUUCAAUAUUGGCAAUUUUCUUUGCAAGAUGCUGAUAAGAUUGUGCGUUCCAUUCAGGAGUUGUUCACUUCCUAGUGGCAAGUCAAGACGUCUCACCCUGCUUCAACCAGUCGUCCUUCUGCUUUUUCAGAGGAAGAUAUGAAGUUCCUCAAGCAGUCAAUAUUUGAGUAUGUGUCCUUUAUGGAUAUGGACAUCGGUCAGGCUAGUGCUACCAAACAUAAGGAUAAGCUUGAACAUUUGAGUGCGAAGUUGGCGCAAGCACUGACACUUCCGUCGCUCAAACUUUCUGCUGAUUUUAAAGCGACGUUGAAAGUUGUCCAUUCCGAGAGUCUCUUCUUGCUGGCCAAAAAUGUUGAUUUGAAGGCCAAAAGUACUCAAUAUCUUCACGCUGUAUCUGAAAGAGAGUCUUUUCUUCUGGAGAUUAACAAAAUUGAGGACGAAUUGAAAGAAAUCUCUUCCGAAUUUACGAUUGAAAACUCUUUGAUGACCAAUUUGGCUGCACAGAUGAAGAAGCUUCAAACAAGGAUGGACGACUGCAAGGCGAGAAUGGCUGCUAAAAAACGUAAUGCCUCCCAAGGAAUUGAGUUAACCAAGUCUUUGGUCGAGCAGUACAAGAAGCUGGAGGUUUAUGAUAAUUUUGUGGCUGAAUUGAAUGUCACUUCUUCUCAGCAGAGCGAGGAUUGAGGGAGACUUAGGGAAAAAAUUCGUUCAGUUUGGGGCGAAUUGUAAUUAAGACAUCUAAUGCAUUAACUUUUCUUUUUGUAAUUUCGUAUUAACUUUCCCCUUGUAAUCUCGUACUGAUGUCCAUUGGUAAUUCUGAACAUACCAGCAGUCAUUAUUAUUAAUGAACGAUUAAUUUGUCUUCUUGUGUAUUUAUUAACGUUGUCUGUAAUCGUCAACUCCCA
rnacentral:lncRNA from 1 species